AACGAACGCUGGCGGCAGGCUUAACACAUGCAAGUCGAACGCCCCGCAAGGGGAGUGGCAGACGGGUGAGUAACGCGUGGGAAUCUACCCAUCUCUACGGAAUAACUCAGGGAAACUUGUGCGAAUACCGUAUACGCCCUUCGGGGGAAAGAUUUAUCGGAGAUGGAUGAGCCCGCGUUGGAUUAGCUAGUUGGUGGGGUAAAGGCCUACCAAGGCGACGAUCCAUAGCUGGUCUGAGAGGAUGAUCAGCCACAUUGGGACUGAGACACGGCCCAAACUCCUACGGGAGGCAGCAGUGGGGGAUAUUGGACAAUGGGCGCAAGCCUGAUCCAGCCAUGCCGCGUGAGUGAUGAAGGCCCUAGGGUUGUAAAGCUCUUUCACCGAUGAAGAUAAUGACUGUAGUCGGAGAAGAAGCCCCGGCUAACUUCGUGCCAGCCGCCGCGGUAAGAC
rnacentral:rRNA from 1 species